GGAGAGGUGCCGGAGUGGUCGAACGGGCUUGACUCGAAAUCAAGUGAUGGCGCAAGCCAUCCGUGGGUUCGAAUCCCACCCUCUCCGCCA
rnacentral:tRNA from 1 species